UCGCUCCUACCGAUUUCGAGUGAUCCGGUGAACCUUUUGGACUGCGCGGGUCUCGUGCCAGCGCGGGAAAUCAAGUAAACCAUAUCACUUAGAGGAAGGAG
rnacentral:rRNA from 1 species